rnacentral:rRNA from 1 species
UACAGAGGGGGCUAGCGUUAUUCGGAAUUAUUGGGCGUAAAGGGCGCGUAGGCGGCCAUGCGUGUCUUCCGUGAAAUCCCUCGGCUUAACUGAGGACGUGCGGAAGAAACUGCAAGGCUCGAGUCCGGGAGAGGGGGGUGGAAUUCCCAGUGUAGCGGUGAAAUGCGUAGAUAUUGGGAGGAACACCGGUGGCGAAGGCGGCCCCCCUGGACCGGUACUGACGCUGAGGCGCGAAAGCGUGGGUAGCAAACAGG